rnacentral:rRNA from 1 species
ACGAGGCACUACGGUGCUGAAGUAACAAAUGCCCUGCUUCCAGGAAAAGCCUCUAAGCAUCAGGUAACAUUGAAUCGUACCCCAAACCGACACAGGUGGUCAGGUAGAGAAUACCAAGGCGCUUGAGAGAACUCGGGUGAAGGAACUAGGCAAAAUGGUGCCGUAACUUCGGGAGAAGGCACGCUGAUAUGUAGGUGAAGCCCCUGCGGGUGGAGCUGAAAUCAGUCGAAGAUACCAGCUGGCUGCAACUGUUUAUUAAAAACACAGCACUGUGCAAACACGAAAGUGGACGUAUACGGUGUGACGCCUGCCCGGUGCCGGAAGGUUAAUUGAUGGGGUUA